rnacentral:rRNA from 1 species
UCGGGAAUUUUGGGCAAUGGGCGAAAGCCUGACCCAGCAACGCCGCGUGAAGGAUGAAGUAUUUCGGUAUGUAAACUUCGAAAGAAUAGGAAGAAUAAAUGACGGUACUAUUUAUAAGGUCCGGCUAACUACGUGCCAGCAGCCGCGGUAAUACGUAGGGACCAAGCGUUGUUCGGAUUUACUGGGCGUAAAGGGCGCGUAGGCGGCAUGACAAGUCACUUGUGAAAUCUCUGGGCUUAACCCAGAACGGCCAAGUGAUACUGUCGCGCUAGAGUGCAGAAGGGGCAAUCGGAAUUCUUGGUGUAGCGGUGAAAUGCGUAGAUAUCAAGAGGAACACCUGAGGUGAAGACGGGUUGCUGGGCUGACACUGACGCUGAGGCACGAAAGCCAGGGGAGCAAACGGGAUUAGAUACCCCCGUAGUCCCUGAGCGGGCUGGCAAGGCGCAU